GGACUAAACUAGGACUAAACCAGGACUAAACUAGGACUAAACUAGGACUAAACUAGGACUAAACUAGGACUAAACCAGGACUAAACCAGGACUAAACCAGGACUGAACCAGGACUACAUCAGGACUAAACUAGGACUAAACCAGGACUAAACCAGGACUGAACCAGGACUGAACCAGGACUAAACUAGGACUAAACCAGGACUACACCAGGACUAAACUAGGACUAAAACAGGACUAAACCAGGACUAAACCAGGACUAAACCAGGACUAAACCAGGACUAAACCAGGACUAAACCAGGACUAAACCAGGACUAAACUAGGACUAAAACAGGACUAGACCAGGACUAAACCAGGACUAAACCAGGACUAAACCAGGACAUAACCAGGACUAAACUUGGGCUAAAACAGGACUAAA
ensembl:lncRNA